GCCGGAAUAGCUUCGAAAUC
rnacentral:tRNA from 1 species